rnacentral:other from 1 species
AGAGCUCUACCCUGUUGGUGGUCGUACGUUUGUUUUGAGCCUACACGAGUGUCUACGGAAAUUCGGGUCGCUGUUGUGAUAUGCAGACCACAGGCGUGGAAGCAGAGGCAAUGGCGCAGGAUACCCACCUGCGAGAGCAGGGUUCAAAACUCGUGGAGACCCACGGCACCGGUGGAGCUCUC